GAUGAACGCUAGCGGCAGGCCUAAUACAUGCAAGUCGAGGGGUAGAGAGAGCUUGCUCUCUUGAGACCGGCGCACGGGUGCGUAACGCGUAUGCAACCUACCUUUAUCUGGGGGAUAGCCCGAAGAAAUUCGGAUUAACACCGCAUAAAAUCACAGAACGGCAUCGUUCAAUGAUCAAAUAUUCAUAGGAUAGAGAUGGGCAUGCGUGCCAUUAGUUAGUUGGCGGGGUAACGGCCCACCAAGACCGCGAUGGCUAGGGGAUCUGAGAGGAUGGCCCCCCACACUGGUACAGCGACACGGACCAGACUCCUACGGGAGGCAGCAGUAAGGAAUAUUGGUCAAUGGAGGCAACUCUGAACCAGCCAUGCCGCGUGCAGGAAGACAGCCCUCUGGGUCGUAAACUGCUUUUAUUCGGGAAUAAACCUGCUUACGUGUAAGUAGCUGAAUGUACCGAAGGAAUAAGGAUCGGCUAACUCCGUGCCAGCAGCCGCAGUAAGAC
rnacentral:rRNA from 1 species